rnacentral:rRNA from 1 species
AUCGAUAAGCCAUUGGAGGGCAAGUCUGGUGCCAGCAGCCGCGGUAAUUCCAGCUCCAAUAGCGUAUAUUAACGUUGUUGCAGUUAAAAAGCUCGUAGUUGAAGUGAGGGAGUGUGUGUUCAUGAGAGCUAGUCUCGAGUGUUCACAACCUCCCCCCUCCAAUCGGUGUAGUGGGGUAUUCAGUUAUUUCACUACUCCUUUGGUCGUUUACUGUGAGAAAAUUAGAGUGUUCAAAGCGGGCGUUUGUUUGAAUAGAUUAGCAUGGAAUAAUGAUUGAAGGCUUUCGUGUUCGAUUUGAUUGGUUUGUUCAUGGAAGCAAGGUUAAAAGGAACAGUUGGGGGUAUUCAUAUUCACUAGUUAGAGGUGAAAUUCUCGGAUUUAUGGAAGAUGAACAAG